GACGAACGCUGGCGGCGUGCUUAACACAUGCAAGUCGAACGGUGAACUCCGCUUGCGGGGGGAUCAGUGGCGAACGGGUGAGUAACACGUGGGCAACCUGCCCUCAGCUCUGGGAUAACUCCAAGAAAUUGGGGCUAAUACCGGAUAUGACCGCUGACCGCAUGGUCUGGUGGUGGAAAGAUUUAUCGGCUGGGGAUGGGCCCGCGGCCUAUCAGCUUGUUGGUGGGGUAGUGGCCUACCAAGGCGACGACGGGUAGCCGGCCUGAGAGGGUGACCGGCCACACUGGGACUGAGACAUGGCCCAGACUCCUACGGGAGGCAGCAGUGGGGAAUAUUGCGCAAUGGGCGAAAGCCUGACGCAGCGACGCCGCGUGGGGGAUGACGGCCUUCGGGUUGUAAACCUCUUUCAGCAGGGACGAAGCGAAAGUGACGGUACCUGCAGAAGAAGCACCGGCCAACUACGUG
rnacentral:rRNA from 1 species